UGAGGAAACACUAGUAUGAAAGUGGAGUUUAUUUCCUGACUAGUUUCACUGUAACUUUAGCUGAUAGUGACUAGUUUGUCUUGGCAGUGCACCACGAGUCACCAUGGACACAAUGUAAGAGGCGUCGUGACCAGCGCUGACUCGUAAGAAGCUACUGUGAAACCAGUUGAGAGAGAGAGAGAGAGAGAGAGAGAGAGAGAGAGAGAGAGAGAGAGAGAGAGAGAGAGAUAGAGAGAGAAUGAGAGACAGAAUGAGAGACAGAAUGAGAGAAUGAGAGACAGAAUGUGUUUGUGUUGGCAUGGGCUUACUGUUGUGUGGAGUUAAUCUGUUAUGUUAGGCUCAAGAACAGUAGGGUGGUGUGUGGCUAGUCAGAGAUGCGUCACAAUCAGUCAUAGAUGGUGAGGUUAGGAUCACAGACAGUCAGAGAGUGAUGUAAGGAACAGGAUGUUGGUGUAUGGCUGAUCAAAGGUGCAUCACAGUCAGUCAGCUGGUGGGAUAGGAACAGGAUAGUGGUGAGUGUUAAGGUGUGUUAGUCAGUCAGCUAGUGAGGUCAGGAAGAGGAUGAUGGUGUGUGUUAAGGUGCAUCACACUCAGUCAUCAGUCAGCCACAGUUAGUUGGGUCUUAGUGUGUGUGUGUGGAGGGAGGCAGUGUUGUCUGUGUUGCAAUGAGUCAAAGUGUCUCCUCUAUGAGUUACUGAAUUAUGAUCAACAGGCUACACAACACAACACAGGUACACACAGAGCACCACACACAACAACAACAACAGUCUAAUGCUACAUGUGCUACAAAACAACAUACACACAGCCUAACUAUCCCAUAUUUACAACACUGCUGCGGAGAGAAUCAGAUUAACCACAGCAUUUAAUAUUUACAGAACAGAGUGAGGGAGUGAGAGGGGUUAGUGCCGAGAGGAUGAGAAGAGAGGCAGAGGGAGAGAGACGUUAGCCUGGCUGGGCAUUGUCAGGACACACGGAGGCACCGGAGAACAGCAGGGCAGAGAUGAGUGUCCAGCCCACCCCGAUCCAGGCGAUGAAAUAGGACCAGUCGUACAUGACCUUGGUGUUGUCACUCAGCAGCUGCAACACCACAGCACCAAGCAUUAGCCAGCAGGCCCCACACUGUACCAGCGGUGUAGGCAGGGCCUUCCUGGCAGCCAUGGGUUAGAGCCACAGCCAAGCCCUUCCAUCUUCCCUCCUGGUGUGCGGUGGUGCACUACACUGCUCUAUGUACAGCUGUGGUGAGGGGAGGUCCUGGUGCAGUGUGGGUAGGGCAUGCAGGGUUAGUCCGACAGCUUGGUGUUAAUAGUAAUGGUGGAGAGCAGAGGUAAUUCAACCCUCACUCUUUGCCUUGUGGUGGUGGUUGCAAUGCUACUCAGUUCCUCAAAACUUUCACUUCUCACAUUCCCUUUAAGCUUAUACAAAAUAUUCCUUUAAAGGUUACAACUGUCCACCAUCCAAAGCACAGGAGUGAAGGUAAUGUUUCUUUGAGUGCCCACAGCAGCCAUUGCCAGAGAAAAAAGUAUUAAUGAAGGGAAGCCUUGAAGAUGAAGGGGAGACAAGAGGAAGUGGUAGGGAAGGAAUACCUGGCAUGAUGUAUUGCAUCUGCUUAGCCUGUUCUCGCUGCUGCUCGCCUUGCAUGCACUGUGAAGCCGCGAGGAACAGACAGAAGGCCAAGAGCGCCAUGCCAGUGCCGAUCCAGGAGAGCAUGUAAGACCAGUCGUACUGAAUGGUGGUGGCGUCCUGCAAGAUCUACCGGGAGAGAGCACGCAGGUCAAGGGACCCGCACCAAGGCAGACUACAGGGCUAAGGGGACACGGCUCUCAGAACAAGACAAGACUAACGGUGGAGACGGUCACUGACGGCUGCUUCACACACCAUACAAGAUGUCAGGGUAGUUGCUGACAGACUACUUCAGGGAGAUGGAGUGGGGAGGUACAAUUGGUUUAAGAAGUUUUGGUGCAUGUCAUGGCAAGGUGGACAUCUGGCACAACCACACAAAAGAGGAUUACCAGCAAGGUUAAGUAAACAGGGAUGGAGAGCUGCUGGACUGCUGGCAACCCAUCCCUGUUAUCCUAACCUUGUGUGUUUCUUACUCUGUGUGUCAUGGUGCCAGCUGUCCCAUCAUCUUGCCAGAACCUGAAUUAAAAUUCUUGGAGGCAAUUGUACUGUGGGUUGCAUUUGAAGAGUGAGGAGAUCUGCAGUGUGGGUUUAUAUGUGGCAUUCAUAUACAGGUUUUGUGUUGUGAAUGGAGAGGAAGUCAUGCAUCUAGUGAUACUGUUGUGUCACUGAGGGUCCCUUCCUCAACAAUUUCUCUGCCAUACAUGUUAACUCAGCCGUACAUCAAACUUGUCAGCACAGAAUCUUUAAAAAGUUAUUGUAAUGACAGAAUGCAAGAUUUUUCCUAACAUAUCCAAGGGAAAUGUGCAGCAACUAUUUAUUUAUUGACAUUUAUCUAUCUCGUGUGGAUAUCGAGGGUAUGAAGGUCUGAAGUAUGCUGGCAAGUAAUAGGGGAGAAUAGAGAAACUGUGUAUGAGGGCAGAAAAAUAAUAGUUUAAGCUCAAUUUUCUCAGUCCAGUUUCAAUUGUACAAUAAGAAAUUUUUCCACUGCAGAACCCAAACAACAGAAUGAGGUGUAGAUGUAAAGUAUGGUUCAGCACGUGCUACCAUUAAAAUUGGUGAACUUAUGUGGCUUUGAGUAUGCGCUGUAAAAAUCCUAUGAUAGCUGUAACUUGAAAAAAAAAACCCUCAAAACAACAGACAGUUUAACCUAGCAUCAGGGAGCCUCAGUGAUAUAACAAGACAGUUUAUUCUAGCAUCGGAGUCUCAG